rnacentral:tRNA from 27 species
GGUCCAGUGGUAAAGUGGUUUAAUACGCUUCCCUGUCACGGAAGAGAUCGCGGGUUCAAUUCCCGUCUGGACCGCCA